CAGGAACCUGCUUUCUUGAAAUUGCCUUCUUUUUUUCUUGGAUAGACAACAGCCAUCCGUGAAUUGUGGUGAACUGAAGAGGUUCAUCUGAUUGAAUUGAGCUUCGUGAAUAAAAGACUGAAGAACCCUGUGCGUUUUCUCAAGACUCCUUUGACAG
ensembl:processed_transcript